GUGGAUUAGAUACCCUGGUAGUCCACGCCGUAAACGAUGGGCACUAGGUGCUUGGGGGAGCGACCCCCUGAGUGCCGGCGCUAACGCAUGAAGUGCCCCGCCUGGGGAGUACGGCCGCAAGGCUGAAACUCAAAGGAAUUGACGGGGGCCCGCACAAGCGGUGGAGCAUGUGGUUUAAUUCGACGCAACGCGAAGAACCUUACCUGGGUUUGACAUGCUGGAGAAAGCUCGCAGAAACGUGAGCCCCUCUUCGGAGUUCCAGCACAGAUGCUGCACGGUCGUCGUCAACU
rnacentral:rRNA from 1 species